rnacentral:rRNA from 1 species
UUACCUGGUCUUGACAUCCCGGAGACCCUUAGGAAACUAGGGGUGGCUUCCAUCUGGAAGAAUCUGGAGACAGGUGCUGCAUGGCUGUCGUCAGCUCGUGCCGUGAGGUGUUGGGUUAAGUCCUGCAACGAGCGCAACCCCUAUCUUUAGUUGCCAUCAGUUCGGCUGGGCACUCUAUGGAGACUGCCACCUAAAGUGGAGGAAGGUGGGGAUGACGUCAAGUCAGCAUGGCCCUUACGUCCGGGGCUACACACGUGCUACAAUGGCCGGUACAAAGGGUUGCGAAGCCGUGAGGUGGAGCGAAUCUCAAAAAGCCGGCCUCAGUUCGGAUUGGAGGCUGCAACUCGCCUCCAUGAAGUCGGAAUCGCUAGUAACCGCAGAUCAGCUACGUUGCGGUGAAUACGUUCCCGGGCCUU